rnacentral:rRNA from 1 species
GAUGAACGCUGGCGGCGUGCCUAAUACAUGCAAGUCGAGCGAACGGACGAGAAGCUUGCUUCUCUGAUGUUAGCGGCGGACGGGUGAGUAACACGUGGAUAACCUACCUAUAAGACUGGGAUAACUUCGGGAAACCGGAGCUAAUACCGGAUAAUAUUUUGAACCGCAUGGUUCAAAAGUGAAAGACGGUCUUGCUGUCACUUAUAGAUGGAUCCGCGCUGCAUUAGCUAGUUGGUAAGGUAACGGCUUACCAAGGCAACGAUGCAUAGCCGACCUGAGAGGUGGAUCGGCCACACUGGAACUGAGACACGGUCCAGACUCCUACGGGAGGCAGCAGUAGGGAAUCUUCGGCAAUGGGCGAAAGCCUGACGGAGCAACGCCGCGUGAGUGAUGAAGGUCUUCGGAUCGUAAAACUCUGUUAUUAGGGAAGAACAUAUGUGUAAGUAACUGUGCACAUCGUGACGGUACCCAAUCAGAAAGGCACGGCUAACUACGUG